UACGUAGGGAGCAAGCGUUGUCCGGAUUUACUGGGUGUAAAGGGUGCGUAGGCGGCUUGGCAAGUCAGAUGUGAAAUCUAUGGGCUUAACCCAUAGACUGCAUUUGAAACUGUCGAGCUUGAGUGAAGUAGAGGCAGGCGGAAUUCCCCGUGUAGCGGUGAAAUGCGUAGAGAUGGGGAGGAACACCAGUGGCGAAGGCGGCCUGCUGGGCUUUAACUGACGCUGAGGCACGAAAGCGUGGGUAGCAAAC
rnacentral:rRNA from 1 species